UGCACCUUCUGCCCAAAUGGUAAAUACCCAAUAGCUAGGCCAACUGUAGAGUGCCCACUGCCGUGCUGUCCAGAAAUUUCAACAUCCUCAUUCUGUGGCGCGUGGCAGAGAAAAGAUCAAUGGAAGGGGGUUUCAUCAAACACGAAGAUGAGCCAUGGCGAGUCCUUGAAUUCUACAGUGGUAUUGGCGGCAUGAGAUACUCGCUAAUGAAGAGCAAUGUGAAGGCUGAAGUAGUGGAAGCUUUUGACAUAAAUAACAUUGCCAAUGAUGUUUAUGAGUACAGUUUUGGUCACCGUCCUUAUCAGGUUUGUCUUUGUUUUUAUUAUUUUUUUUUAACUUUUACUUCCUUUAAUUCAUCAAUGGCUUACUUGCUUCUGAAACAAUUUUCUUUCUUUCGUUUUGGUUAUUAUUAGAAGUGGUUAGCGAGACUUAGUGCCCGUUUGGCAUUAGGAUUAUUUGUAUUUUUGGCAGCUUUGCCAUCGUGCUUGUUGGAAUUGGGAUUGAGUUUCUUUCGGAUUUUUUUUUUUUGUUUUGUUGCUGUUUUGGUAGCUAGUGGCUUUCUUGUUUCUUCAGAGCAAAAGUUUUGAGGUAGUAGGAAGCUCUAGUAAAUUUAAUUUCUUUUCAAACAUUCGCUGUGUAGGUUUGAGUUCUAUGAAAGUUGGAGAUUACUUUGCAUUAAGUUAUUUUUAGUUUCAAAUAUCCGGUCAUUAUUUUGGAGUAGAAUUUAUAAAUUUCAUAGUUUAAUUGUAUCUCAUAUAUUUGGAGCAUCAUAGGGUAAUAUUCAGAGUCUGACUGCUGCUGAUCUCGACAGUUAUGGAGCACAUGCAUGGCUUCUUUCGCCUCCUUGUCAACCCUAUACUCGUCAAGGUCAAUAUUGCAUGAUCAUCUUUUUCUUGUUUCAUAGAUUGUAUUUUGGUUUUGGUGACAGCUUUGCUGCAAAUCUUGUGAUUAGGUCUUCAAAAGCACUCUGGUGAUGCUCGGGCUUCUUCUUUUCUCAAGAUUCUUGAAAUUAUACCACACACUAAAAAACCACCAAAUAUGUUGCUCGUGGAAAAUGUUGUUGGAUUUGAGACAUCUGAUACACACACAAAAAUGGUAGAGAUUUUAGCAAACUCAGAUUUUGUUACACAGGAGUUUAUUUUGAGUCCGUUACAGUUUGGUGUGCCUUACUCCAGGCCACGUUAUUUUUGCUUGGCAAAAAGAAAACCUUUAUCUUUUCAGCACAAAGUCUUCGAUAAUCAGCUUCUUUAUUCUUUAGGCCCAUUACUUGGGCAAAAUGUAAACACAGUCAUAGAUGGAUUUGAUCAAGCACCAGAGAACUGGGAUAAGUUGCUCCAAUCAUGUGAGCCAGUGGAGAAUUUUCUUGAAUUUAAGAACUCUAGUGACCAAGUAAAUGCAGAAACUGAUUUUGUGGCAAUUCCCAAUGUUUCUGGAGAUCUGGAGAACAUUGCUGAUGAAAAUCUUAUUGCAAUGGAACAAUAUUUUGUCCCAUCAUGCUUGAUAGAUAGAUGGGGAAGUGCAAUGGGUAUCCUUUAUUUUUGCUUCUUUUCAAUAGUAUGAACAUUUCAAAUUCACUCAUUUUUAUGGAAUCAUCCUCUUCCUCUGAAAAGUUCCUGAUAGAGUUCAGAUAUUGUCUAUUCGGAUUCAAAACGAUGCUGUUGUUUCACAAAGAGUUAUUAUAGAUAUGUGAAAGGGACUGGAUCCCUGCUAGCAACUGUCCAGGUAUGUUCUCAUUUCAAACGUUCUAAUUUUUAUGGGCUUGGAAUGGGUUGUUAGUACUUUUAUUGGCUAAGAAAAGGGGUGGUUAAUCAGUGGUCUAUAUAUUUAUCAAAGAAGCAGAUGCUCAAUUUCUUUUUAUUAUCUCAAGCACUCCAGCCAACACAUUGGAUUGACACUGCAAUGAGAUCCUGCCUUGUUCAUUCGGUGCCCAUCUAUGAUAUCUUUCAUCAUCUAUCGAUCUUUUACAAUGUUUUCGUUGCUAUCAUGUUCACCCUUCCAAAUUUGUCUGGUAGGAACAAUCAAAUUCAUUUAUCAUGUUAUUGCCCCCACUCAUAUGCAUCCAGCCAAAUUGGUUUUGAUAUGUUAUGUUAUAGGUCCAAAAGUUUUAAAUUUGAUGGUCUGCAUUUAGGUCGAUAUCUACACAUUUGGGUUUAAUAUGGGAUGUCCAUCUCCUGUAUCCUAAUUUUGAUGUUAAACUUAAAUGCCAUCAAUCAAUUCCCUUUUUCUCAACAUGAUAUUUACAAAAUGAUAAUGCAGCCAAAGGAUAAGGGGAAAACAUCUUCAUUGAAGGACCAAGGCCUAAGAUAUUUUACCCCUAGGGAGGUAUGAAGAUUUUGCUGACAAUUUUUUAUUUUAGAUAUUUUUUUCAUGUUGACAAAUUCUAUAUAUGUAUAUUUUUCUAAUGACUAGGUUGCUAAUUUGCAUUCUUUCCCUGAGGAUUUUCAUUUUCCACAGCACAUAAGCCUUAGACAACGGUAUGUUAUUAUUUUCUCAGUAUCAAUAUAGUUAUAUCAGGAAAAUAAGGUUGGCAGUUACCAUUAUUAGUAGUCACUGGUAAUCAACCAGUUUAUAACUUGCUAACUAAGUCUAAGCAGGCCACGCAGAUUGAGCUUCAUCUUUAUUGGACACAUAUAUGGUAAAUCAGGACAACAAUAUACUCUGAGUAGAUAAAAAUGAAAGCCUUUCCCAACAAAAUGAAAAAAAAAAAAAGAAAGAUUAUUGAAAUUGAUUUGAUAUAAAAGCAAUCUAGAAUCUCUUUAUGUUUAUAUGACAUGUAUAUCAAGUAGAGGUUGAAGCAUUGGAUUAAAAACCAAGGAUAUGCUAGCAGGGCAUGUAUAUGUUUCUUGGCAACUUGUGAAGGCUCGUGGUAUUUUAAUUUUCUGUUGUUUCCAGAAAAAGAUAAAACUACUACUCAAAUUUUGGCUACGAUUUUGUAUUGUGUUUUAUUAUCAUUUUUUUUCUCCCCUUUUCCUGAAUUUAAAUUAAAAUAGGCCAACGGAAUGGCACUGCCUUACCUGUGUGACAGUUUGAUUGUUGUGAAUAUUAAUUCCGUGGCUGAUUUUCUGAAUCAUUUAACACUCUGCAUACUAAUCAUAGAAGCAUCUUUUAUAUCUGACGAUGUCAUUUGCUUCUUGUAGUUAUGCGUUGCUGGGAAACAGUUUAAGUAUAGCAGUGGUUGCUCCCUUACUCCGCUACCUAUUCACCCAACCUUUGUGACUUUUGAUUCUAAAAUCACCAUUCUACAGAUGUUUACAUAUCUAUGUUAUAUUCCAUUUUAAAUUUCCUUGGGGGCUAUUAGGUGGUUUCCCCCAGUAUUUUUGGUCAACAGUGGGAUCACCAAUUUAAAGGGGUGACUUUCAUAUUGUUGCAAUUUAGCCCUUACCCGUCAUCAACCGUUAUGUAGAGGAGAAGCAUUGUCUGUGGGAGAGGAUUGGACACUGAUGUCAUU
rnacentral:misc_RNA from 1 species